GUAGUGGACAUCAGGCUGAGGAGCCAUGGGAUGGCCCUGAGUAUGAUCAUACUAUGGAAAAUGACAAAGGUAUUAAUAUUCUAUAAAGUAUUAAAGUAACAUGAGAAGCAGCAUUUUGUUUAACAUACAUGUAUGUGUUUAACAGUCUGUCAAGAUCUGUUUCAAGUGUUUCUUGUUUUUUUAUAACCAAGGCAUGUUUUUGGUUCUAAAUGGAUCUGCAUCCACGAGUAGACAGAGGGCCAUCAUCUCUGUUCCUGUCACCAAUCAGACAUUCCCUGUCUGUGUUGGCUUUUGGUAUUAUAUGCUCGGGCCUUCGGUCUCCAACCUGGAUCUGUUGGUUCAGACAGAAAACUCUGAACUGUUAGUCUGGACUCGCAGGGGAACACAGAAUCCAGAGUGGAUGAAUGCACACGUAACCAUCAACAUGAGCAAUACAAUACAGGUAAAACUAGUAACACUUCACCCUUCAGCUUGAUCAAACAUUGUACAUGUGUUGAUUUUUCAAUGUUUUUACGUGUUCUUUCUCAGAUGAUGUUCACUGGUUACAGAAACACAACCAGCCAAGGUUUCAUCGCUGUUGAUGACAUCACCGUGAGAGACGGGGUCUGUGGUGUUCAGGGUAUGUAAACCCAGACCCAGCACCACCUGAUGCACAGGGAGGCAAAACAUAUCGAAGGUUGUGACAUCUUGGCCACUUUUUGCACCAUUCUAGAUGUGUGUGGGUUUGAAUCCAGCUUGUGUGCCUUUGAGAACGAUGUUAGUCACUUGGGUCGUUGGAUUCACAAAAUGGGAACAGAUCGUCAUGUGGAUCACACCUAUGGAACAGAAAACGGUGAGUAGUUUAGGAUUUCCCUCUUAUUCUGAAGACUCUUAAACUCUGAGUCACAUCUGCGUAGCUUGGAUUUUGGGUUUUUGUUGUUCUCACUUCGUGCUGCAGCUACUGUCGAUACCAGGCUGUUAAAGUGAGGGGGAACUGUAAUCAUAUUUAAAACCCAACCUACUAAACUGCAAUUGAAGCAGAACCAUUAAUUUGUUUCAGGUUUUUACAUGACUGUGCUGAAUUCUACGACUUCUACGACUCAAGUAGCUCAACUGCUCACUCCAGAGCUUCAGUCAGGUGCAGAGAUGUGUGUUCGCUUCUGGUGCGUCCGUAGUUUCCCUUGUACACAUUUACACUCUUUUCUGUUUGUUAUCAUGUGUAAUAGGAGUUAAAUGUCAGGGCUUGUGCCGCGUUUGUUCAGGUACUGGCUACCUGAAGGUCACUUUAACAACCUUAGCGUCCACGUUGUGCGACAUGAGGAGGAGAGUGAAGCCCUUUGGGAACGAUCUGGAGCGCCCUCUACACACUGGGAGGUGGCAGAGGUCACGGUUUCGUCCGCCGCUAAAUUUCAUGUGAGGGCUUGUUUACGAUGAUGAUGAUUACUGCUUUCUGCCUGUGAAACGUCUUCUCUUACCUUUACACAUGCUGUAGCAUG
rnacentral:lncRNA from 1 species